AGGGAUAGUUAUUGAAAUUUACCCUUUAAAAUGGAUGUCUUUUACAGACAUUGCUUGUGGAUUUUACUAAUGUCUCUUUAGUCAUUGGGCGUAUCAUGUGUGAACUUUUGGUUACUGUUUUGGUUUGUUCAUUUUCUAAUUGGGUGGCCUUUUUCCUCCUCUCCUUUGAUGUUGGAGUCUUUUCUCUCAAUGCAAAAUAUGGUAAAACUCAAUCAUGUUUUAAAUUUAGGAAAGCUUCUGGAUGUUAACUGUUAUAACUUUUGGGUAUAUCAUGUGUCAGCACUUCAAUCUUCUGUAAUGGUCUUGUUCCAUUCCCUAGUCUUUGUUGAUGGAGAUGUGAAAGAUUAUAAAACUCUAAAGCAACUUCUUGUUCUUGGUGGGGGUGGGGGUGGGGGUUGGGGUUGGGUACAAGUUCAACCCAACCUAUUGCUCUACCUGCAAGUUUACCAUGGGAGGCAACCCAAUUGGUUCAAGACAACUAAUUCAGUCCUGAACUAAUCAGGAUUAACUACGCGGAUCCUUGUCCAUCUAGCAGACUAUCUACAAGCUAUUGUAAUAAUCAUUUUCAUGAACAUGAAAACUAACAAUGGUCAAAACCGAGCAUAUUUCUAGAUUGUAAUACAAUAAAGCCAUAUAAAAAUUUUCACAUAUUCCAUCAUAUACGCUGGCUAGCUUAUUUAUACACAUCUUGUCUCUUGAAUUAAUAAUUUCUGGUUUCCAUUAUUCAGAAAGGCCAGUUAUGUAUUCAUCAGCAUGGGGUCAGUUCAGACUUCCUCAUCAGUUUAUGUCUCCAGCAAAUAGUGGUGGACCUGGUUCACAGAUGGACUUCCUGAGUGAACUUCGCCGUGCAAUUCACGACUCCAGUGCCAAUCCCAACAAGUAACAGUCUCGGAUCCCUAAUCAAGGACGAAUGCUGUCUGAAUCUGAGACUGGUGCUCAGGAGUCAGGAUUACCUGUUCUAUUGUGUUAAUGAAAACCCAGAAUCUGCUAAUCUGUUGGAGAAGAAAAAAAGCGAGAGAAAAAGUGUCUGCUACUUAAAUAUAGUCUUGUGAUUUAUGUUAUAGAGGUUGUUCUGCGUGCAAACAAAAAUCAAUCUCUUAUGUUGUAUUUUAUUGAAGUAAUUAAAUUAUUACCUAUAUCCAGGGAGAAUGUCAUGCAAGUGCACAUCAUGCAAGAAUGGUAAAUUCACUAUUCAUGCAGUAUGUGACGAAAAGAUUUUAGGUCUUUUCCUUAAUAAGCAUUAUGUUAUAUCAUAAUCAUUGAGCAAAGAAACGAUGGAUGAUUAGGUUAUAUAAUUUUUGGAAUGAAUUUGAAUGGCUAUGAUUCUUUCCACACUGGAAUGAUUCAUUGAGCGGCCAAACGCUUUUCCACCCAGAAAACAACGUGUUUUGCCGUGAUUUUCUUCUCAUCAACCAGAAAAGGUUCGACAGUGCUUGCUCCCGAGCCAUAGGAGGAUAGAGAAAACCCUUUUGGACCUGUUAGGUUUCCACUGGGGAAGAAUGCCCAAAAUGAGUAAGGGUUGCCCUUCUUUUUAAAGUAUCCAUCCAACUGUUAUUUUUAAUGCAAAAAGGAAAUGAGAAACUUUGGUUGAUUUGGUGACAUGGUGAGGAGCAAGUCAAUAAUCAGUAGUGACAAAAUCACAAGACUUACUCUGUUGUCUUGGAAAGAUAACUCAAGUUCAGUGAUAUCUUGUUCAGCUUCAAGAAUCGCUUUUAAUGAAGGAAUCACAUCUUCUUCCAUCAACUGAGGGAGUGCUUUGGCAGGAGCCUUUCCUGCAGAUUUAGGCUUUGCUGGUGCCGUCUCUUCAACUUUCUUCACCUUCUUCUCUUCAACUGUGGAAGUAGAUGAUUCUUGCACAGCAGAACAGGUGAUACUUCUUCUUGAGGUUGCUGACUUGCUAGCAAUCUGCUGCUCACAUUUAUAGAUGAUGCAGAUUAUUUAGCAAGGAAAAAAAAUUCAAAAAAAACCUCCAAAUUCUAUGUAAAAAGGGGGGAAAAAAUCUAAUUGAAUAAACUUAGCUUUGAUUCCAACUUGAACAUAACUAACUCUUAUCAGUGUUCUUUAUCUGCAUCACUGACAUUCAUUUCAACAAUCCAAACCCAACCCCAGAUGGAUAAUUCAAGAAUUAUUUGGCUAACAUAUACACAACAGGAUUUUUCCAAUAUUUGAGCAGCUAAAUUCAAAAGAAAAAACACAUAAUAAAUGUUUUGCGUGUAAUUAAUGAUGGAAAAAAUAUUUACAUACCAAAGAGAGGGUUGAGCAGGUGGUUCUGCCAUUCCUGCAAAAACAUGAAGGUGUUGAAGGGAAGCUCGAAACUCCCAUAGCUCCACCUCGAGUUGCCAUGUUAUUAAAUAUUGAGUUCAUUCAAGAAAGAUUUUGAUAACAACUUAUAACUUUUUCCAAAUUAUUUUUCUUUUUCAAUAACCAAUCAUUUUUCUAUUUUCUAAAUUCUUUGCAAUUAUAUAUACAUGUAUACAAUAUGAGAAGAAAAUCAGGGAGAGAGAGCUGAUGAACUCAGAAUGAAAGAGAAGCACUCAAGAGGAGAGAGAUAGUACUCUG
rnacentral:misc_RNA from 1 species